CCCAGACUCCUACGGGAGGCAGCAGUGGGGAAUAUUGGACAAUGGGGGGAACCCUGAUCCAGCGACGCCGCGUGAGUGAAGAAGUAUUUCGGUAUGUAAAGCUCUCUCAGCAGGGAAGAAAGAAAUGACGGUACCUGACUAAGAAGCCCCAGCUAACUACGUGCCAGCAGCCGCGGUAAUACGUAGGGGGCAAGCGUUAUCCGGAUUUACUGGGUGUAAAGGGAGCGUAGACGGCAUGGCAAGUCAGAUGUGAAAGCCCGGGGCUCAACCCCGGGACUGCAUUUGAAGCUGUCAGGCUGGAGUGCAGGAGAGGUAAGUGGAAUUCCUAGUGUAGCGGUGAAAUGCGUAGAUAUUAGGAGGAACACCAGUGGCGAAGGCGGCUUACUGGACUGUAACUGACGUUGAGGCUCGAAAGCGUGGGGAGCAAACAGGAUUAGAUACCCCGGUAGG
rnacentral:rRNA from 1 species